ACUGCUUCAGAUAAGGGACCAUUUAUGCCCUUUUCUCUUCCCAUCUCACUCAAAGUUGACAAUCUCUAUUUUUUGUCUCUAAUCCCCCACAUAAACCCUGUGAAACUCAGCUUUCUCCGCCGUCACCUACACUCCACCACUACACUAUGCAAGCCCAUUUGCUCUCCCCUCCUAUCUACCCCACCACCAGCCUUUUCCCCAAAUGUAGGCCCCACUCAACAAAAUCACCCACCCUCACCGUCCGCGCCUCCUCCAUCUCCUCAACGGAAACCGUAGCCCCACCACCACCACCACCACCACCACCAGCACAGACUCGAAAGCUCAACCAAUACAGUAGUCGCAUUACUGAACCAAAGUCCCAAGGUGGUUCACAAGCGAUUCUAUACGGAGUUGGUUUAUCCGAUGACGAUAUGAACAAACCCCAAAUAGGAAUAUCAUCUGUUUGGUAUGAAGGCAACACUUGCAAUAUGCAUCUGUUGAAACUUGCUGAAGCUGUUAAAGAAGGGGUUAAUGAAGCUGGCAUGGUUGGGUUUAGAUUUAAUACUAUUGGUGUUAGUGAUGCUAUUUCAAUGGGAACUAGAGGCAUGUGUUACAGUUUGCAGUCAAGAGAUUUGAUUGCUGAUAGUAUUGAAACUGUCAUGUCUGCUCAGUGGUAUGAUGGCAAUAUUUCCAUCCCUGGAUGUGAUAAAAAUAUGCCAGGCACAAUUAUGGCGAUGGGAAGACUAAACAGGCCAAGUAUCAUGAUAUAUGGUGGAACAAUUAAGCCGGGUCAUUUUCAAGGGCACACAUUCGACAUAGUGUCCGCUUUCCAGGUGUAUGGAGAGUAUGUUAGUGGUGCUGUUAGUGAUGCACAGAGGAUGAAUGUAGUUCGUAAUUCAUGUCCUGGUGCGGGGGCUUGUGGUGGAAUGUAUACAGCAAAUACUAUGGCAUCUGCUAUUGAGGCAUUGGGCAUGUCACUGCCUUACAGCUCUUCUACACCAGCUGAAGAUCCACUGAAGUUGGAUGAGUGCCGCUUAGCGGGAAAAUAUCUUCUAGAAUUGUUAAAGAUGGACUUGAAACCUCGAGAUAUCAUCACAGAAAAGUCACUUCGAAAUGCAAUGGUAGUCGUUAUGGCACUUGGUGGAUCUACCAAUGCUGUACUACAUUUAAUUGCUAUUGCAAGGUCUGUUGGUUUGGAAUUAACUCUAGAUGACUUCCAAAAGGUUAGCGAUGCGGUUCCUUUCCUUGCAGAUCUGAAGCCAAGUGGAAAAUAUGUUAUGGAGGAUGUGCACAAGAUUGGAGGUACACCUGCAGUCAUUCGCCACCUGUUGGAGCUUGGGUAUAUGGAUGGGGACUGCAUGACUGUCACAGGAAAGACAUUGGCUGAAAAUGCAACGCUAUUUCCUUCUUUAGCUGAAGGUCAGCAAAUUAUAAGACCACUGUCAAAUCCCAUCAAAGAAACAGGCCACAUCCAGAUAUUAUAUGGGAAUCUUGCACCAGAUGGUAGUGUGGCAAAGAUUACUGGAAAAGAAGGGCUAUAUUUUUCUGGCCCUGCUCUAGUGUUUGAAGGAGAGGAAGCUAUGCUUGCCGCUAUCUCAGAAGAUCCUUUGAGUUUUAAGGGAAAAGUUGUAGUCAUUAGAGGAGAGGGACCUAAGGGAGGACCAGGUAUGCCCGAAAUGCUGACACCCACAAGUGCAAUUAUGGGUGUAGGUCUUGGGAAGGAUGUUGCAUUACUUACUGAUGGAAGAUUUUCUGGAGGUUCUCAUGGAUAUGUUGUUGGGCAUAUAUGUCCUGAAGCACAGGAAGGAGGUCCAAUUGGUCUUGUUCAAAAUGGAGACAUAAUAACAAUUGACAUUCAGAAAAGGAAAAUGGACGUUCAGUUAUCAGAUGAGGUGUUGGAGCAGCGUAGAAAGAAUUGGACCCCCCCUGCAUAUAAGGCUGACCGAGGAGUUCUCUACAAGUAUUUAAAAAAUGUGCAAUCUGCUUCCAAGGGAUGUGUUACUGAUGAAUAGAGAAGAAGCAUAUUUACGAAAGCAUAGAGUGAUGGGGAAAGCCUGAUUUUGUAGAUUUUGCAUGCAGUUGCAAUUGGGGCACCUGCACUGCUCUAAGCCCAUUUAUUAGUAGAGAAAUCAGGUUUGUGUUUCGUUAUGCUGGUUAUUAUGGAGCAUCUCUUGACAACUAUACCUUGUGCCCACUAUGGUUAAAGUUUUGAAAAGUGAGGAAGUACGUUUUUGUAAAAUACGUAAUAUCAUACCAAACAACUUCAUGAGACUUUAGAAUGAUGAAAUCUUAUGGUUGAUUGAAGUGGACUGGAGAAUCAAAUGGUAAGCAAGUAGAAGAGUUUUGUUAAGGUCAUUACAUUGUAAGGCUUUCUACGCAGUGAUACCAGAGUGCAAAUUAUGUUUUGUACUGCGGAAGUCAUUAGAGAAAUGAUUUUCUAAUGGUGUUUGGUCAAUAAAACUAUGUUUUCAUCAAAAGGAGGGAAAUAACUUUC